CUUGCCUUCAGGUUGGUCUGUCCUUCGUGUCUGAGUGUCUGACAGAUUUCUGGAGGAGCUUGGGGAAGGAUACAAAGAGAAGAUGGGACAAUCUGGACACAGCCACUUGCAUUGUUUAUCAUCUAUAAUUGCCCAUAAUCUACAUGUGUGACCUUAGUAUGGUGCAGGAAGGACAUCACUGAAUGUAGCUAAGGAAACCUUUGACAGCAUCCGAGGGCAAAUAAUCGCAGCCUGUAGAGGAAACGGUCUGAGCACUGCCCGUAGUACAGCAGUCCUUUGUCUCCUGGGGAUGAAGAAACCCUGGAGGACAGAGAUUGGGGAGGACCUGGCAUGGUGACGGUGCCCACGCUGGUUAGGUCACCUGAUGUCCUUGCACAGAUCCAAAGUCGGAUGUUUUCUGGUUUGAGGGUCACUCCACUGAUACAGGGAAUGAGGUCAUGGUCUGCAGGCUCCCCAGGCACUGAGUGGACUUGGAACACAGCGCUGUACUUUGGAGUAAAGCUGGUGUGGGAACCUCGGCCCUGAGUGAAGGAGAGGAUCUCUUGCUUCCAAGCAGGCCCUGGUUAAGAUAAAAUCUUGGGAGGCCUAUUAAGGCUUAGAAUUCCACUAAUGAAGUGAGUCACCCCUUCCCAGGGACCAGCACCAGGCCAGCAUGACAUCGCAAUUUCAGCCGAGUGUCCCUGGCGACUUUCAGUGAUGGAGAUGGAGACUGCACACGAUUGCUGGAGAACACACACAGUUCCAGCUGCAGCAGGCCUGGUGGAGACAGACGGUGGCUGGCAAGAGUGGCACAGCCCAAGCCUGCAGCUCUGCCCCUCUGCACGGGCACCAUGUGGCUAGGAAUUUGUUUCUUGGUUGAGUAACAUUUUUGAUGAAAUAAGCAACAAAACGCAGGGCAUCAGAAUGACCGCUGCAGUAAUGAAACAAUUGAGAUGCCCACCAAAGACAGCUGGAAAUCGGACAACGAAGAUGGAGAAGACUUAACAGUUUUAAUAAACUGGAACCAAGUGACAACACGCGUAGUUCAGUUUUGCCGUGCUCUGGCCUGAGUUUGAAGCUGGAAUACUUGUAGCAGUUUGAGUAAGGAGUGUCUAGGAGUGGCUCUCUGAGUUUUUCCUGCUUGAAGUAGAAGAUUAGUAUUGUUUACAAUAUUCCACAAUUUGGGGCCGUUAUUUCAAGAAUUUUUCUGUGCCUGCUCUGCUCUCUGGAUUCCCCUCUUGUACAGUGUGCUGCUGUCUGAGAUCUUACCAUUGGAUUCUCUUCAUUUUUCUGCAUUCCUCAGACUUGGUAAUCUCUUCAAAUUCACCGAUUCUUCUUCCUGCUUAAAGCUGUUGUUGCACUGCUCUAGUAAAUUUCUCACUGCAAUUACUAGAGCUCACAAUUGCAAAUCGACCUCUAUAAAAUAAAAGCAGGAGCACAUGAGGAUGGAUUGCAUCUGUCACAGUUGUGAAGACCAACCCAAUAGAAAAACCAAG
ensembl:lncRNA